GGAGCAUCUGCAGGAGCGGGAAGGGGGACUUCCUGUCACCAUAGCCUGGGGCUGAUUUCCCUUGGUGCUGGCUGUGUAGGGGCGAGGAGGACGUGUGAAUUCACAGGGCAGCCUGGGAACCUAGCCCAGGAGGGGACUGCCCCUGCCUUCAGUGGAAUAGAGAAGAGUGGAAUCUGCACGGACCAGCACGUGCCCGUCUCCAGCGCCGAUGCUGUAAUGGGUGGACCCAGAUGGUGACCUGGAGGGGGUGCUGCAGCCAGAUGCGGGGAGAUUGGGCCGCCACAGGCUGCACAGCACAUUCAGAGGCCUCACAAAGCCGGCUGCAAUCGACUCGGCCUGCCAUUAUCCAUUCAGCGGGCGUAAUGAAUGAGCGGGCGCAGGCUGCCAUAUACCACCCGGCCCAGAUAACGGCUGAAAGGAGAAAAUUAAAUUUUGCUUUUGUUGAAAC
rnacentral:lncRNA from 1 species